rnacentral:rRNA from 1 species
CACGUAGGGCGCAAGCGUUGUCCGGAAUUAUUGGGCGUAAAGAGCUCGUAGGCGGUCUGUUGCGUCCGCUGUGAAAACUCGGGGCUUAACCCCGAGCCUGCAGUGGAUACGGGCAGACUAGAGGUAGGUAGGGGAGAAUGGAAUUCCCGGUGUAGCGGUGAAAUGCGCAGAUAUCGGGAGGAACACCGGUGGCGAAGGCGGUUCUCUGGGCCUUACCUGACGCUGAGGAGCGAAAGCGUGGGGAGUGAACAGG